AGUUCAAGUGGUGCCAAUUUUGUUCACACGAUGCCAGAUGACAAACCGACUAAUGAACAUUAACUACAUUGUUAACCGGCUUAUGCUGCCCAGGUUUUUCCUAUAGUGUAAUUACCUUCAAGGACAAACAAUCAGUAUCAACAUAAUGAAAAAGGAUUUUGAAAGUGCUAUGGUAGUGAAGAGAUCACGGAGGCUUGAGAUUAUCCCUUUUGAGCCAUGUACAAGUCGGAAGCGCAAGAGUUUUGUGACGUUUGGAUUGGUCUAGGAUAAAUUCCACAGCAAACAGAUGGACUUUUUGACGUAAUUGUACAGACAUGGCAGAAAUAAGAUCCGACAUUGAUGUGGUUCUGGAGUGUGUGAAAUGUCAGCUAAAAAGCCCAACCGCUCUUCAUCAGUCACUUAUGACCUUGUCAAGUCUCUUUU